rnacentral:lncRNA from 1 species
UCCAAAGGGUAAUUUUUCAAGAAUCUCCAUUUAUUCUACCUUAUACACAUUGGCUAAAAGAAAGAACACCGUUUCUCCAAGGCUCAAUCAAGGUUCGAAUCAUAAAAAUUUAAAGGUAGGCUUGAAAGGCUCAAACGGUUCAAAGAUGGCCCAAAUCACUUCCCAAAUUGCUCAACAAUUUAAUAUUUCACUUUGUAAAUUUGUAAGGCAAGUUCUAAAACCGAAUAGCAUAUGAUAUAGCAUAAAUUAAUUCCACGUUUUAAAACACAAAACUUUCAACCAAAGCAAGGCAUAAUUCGUG